AAGUCGUAACAAGGUUUCCGUAGGUGAACCUGCGGAAGGAUCAUUCAUGAACGAGUGCGCGCCUAUCUUUAACAAUGGCCGCAUAUCAUUUUUUUUCUUUUUCUAAACCCGAAAGUCAAAAGGAUGAAUAAAACACAAUAACAAAUAAAAACUUUCAACAACGGAUCUCUUGGCUCUC
rnacentral:misc_RNA from 1 species